rfam:Brachypodium distachyon strain Bd21 chromosome 1, whole genome shotgun sequence.
UGUGUACUCCCUCUGUCCAACAAAAGAUGUCUCAAGUUUGUCAAAAUUUGGAUGUAUCUAGACAUGACUUAUUGUAUAGAUGCAUUCAAAUUUAGUCAAAGUUGAGACAUCUUUUGUUGGACGGAGGAAGUACAAU